rnacentral:tRNA from 1 species
GGGCCCAUAGCUCAGCUGGGAGAGCGCCUGAUUUGCAUUCAGGAGGUCUACGGUUCGAUCCCGUAUGGGUCCA